CUUUAUGCUUGACCGCUUUUCAUCAAGAUACAUGCAAGUGGGUACAAAAUCUGCAUUUCUGAAACUUUUCAAAAGUAGCAGCUGUCGAAGCCAAUGUCAGAAGGGGAACUGUAGGACAUGCUGUCACAGUGACAGUAACACACACAGUGUUUUCUGUGCCAUAAAAAUAAAAGCACCUGUAUACAUAACUAAGAUGAGUGUGUCCAAAAAUUUGGAAGAAGUUUUCCGUCUGAUGACUCUUCAUUGGGGGUCAUGUUUGUGCAAGCAACACUGUGCACUACCAGUGCACCGCCACUCCUGUGUCAGCUAAAUCUACCUGCAGGUCUGUCCAUUAAUCUCAAAUAGUGGUUUUGCUUUGCUUUGCAAUUCCAUUUGACAGUUUUCUGUCCUCAGAUCUUGUCUUAACUUCCACAGUUCCCUUUAAUGUUAUCUUUUUAUUGACAAUGGAAAUUAUGAGCUGGCAGAACUUUCUAUUUAUAGCUUUUCUCUGUUUUGUAGGCAUCAGUUAGCUUUGUUUAUUAUUAGCUAUAUCAAUAAUCAGCUGCUCAGGA